GUCAUUCUGAAGUUGCCAGAACGCUUUACGGCACUGUCGCACAUACUGCUGCUCUGUUGACAUACUUGUACUCCUGUGCGUAUUCACAGUUAGAAGUAGUCAUGGUUUGGACUUUUUUUCAUUAAAUGAGUGUUUUUGACUUAUUCCGCGGGUUCUUUGGGGUUCCCGGAGGUCAUUAUCGUGGCCGAAGGGAUCCCUUCUUUGAUGCAAUGACUCAUGAUGAUGACGAUGAUGACGAUGAAGAAGAGGAAGACGACGGAUUCUACAAUGAGAGGUUCCACGGGGUCCGGCAGGACCCCUUUGAUAAUGACUGGAGGUUUGACUUCAGCUUUGGACCAAACGGGAUGAGGAUCGAGGAGCCUCCGGUGUUUGGCCAUGUCCUCAGGGAGAUGGAGGAGAUCUUCUCCCAGCUGGGCCGCACGGACGGGCAGCCAGAGUCCGGACACUUUGGUGUGCCCAUGCUGCCACCUCCUCAGGAUGGAUCAAAGAUUACUGAAGGCAUAUCCAGCAGGAACCCCCUGAGAGACUUCAUGCUCAAAUCCCCUGACGGCAACACACAAGGAUCACCUGCAGAGCCCAGAACUGACCGCCACCCUUCUGACGAGUCACCAAGUGUCCAUGACUGGACCCCUUUUCCAAAAUUCAGUGAUAUUUGGAAAAGGGGGCCACCGAAAGCUCCAGAAGAUGGGCGGAGAGAAGACAGAGAUCUAGACUCUGCAGUUUCCUCUGGUGGUCUGGAUCAGAUUCUGACGCCACCUGCUGGUCAGGCACCAAACCAACCCAGAACCAGAUCUUUCUUUCAGUCAGUCACCGUCACAAAGGUGGUGAAGCCUGAUGGGGUGAGAGAAACAGUACUGUGGAGGAGAGGCGUACCAUUAGAGACGGACAAGGUAAUGAGGAGACCACAGUGACCCGUUCAGGAGGUUCGGGUAACCUUGAGGAUUCAGACCACCACACUGGAUCCCAUACACCAGGUAGCCAACAUCCAUUUUCAGACAUGCGUGAUGAUGACUCGCUGUUCUUCUCCAGGUUCUUUCGAGGGUUUAAGUAACCUGUAAAGAAGAAUACAGUGAAGGAUAUUCUUUGCUUUAUCCGUCUACAAGUGCUUCCCCAGAGCUGUGAGUUUGCAGAUUUGUAGGAUUUAUCAAAAUACGCAUACUUGCAUGUCCUUUAAUUGCCAAAGUGAAAAUGUUGGAAAAGGAUCUCCUAAAAUGAUGGCAGGAUUUUAAACAGACCACAAGAGUAGAAGCUGCCACUCUUGAAACCUUGUGAUUUUUAGGAAUCGGGACAAAUCAGGGACUACAUAAUUCACUGUUAGAUAUUUUAUUUUUGAACACUUUUUUGUAGAAUAAGCCUGUAUUGAUUUGUGUGUGAUUUGUCAAAUAAAAACUUAAUAUAUUCAGGA